rnacentral:rRNA from 1 species
AGAACGAACGUUAGCGGCGCGCCUAACACAUGCAAGUCGCACGAGAAAGGGCUUCGGCCCCGGUACAGUGGCGCACGGGUGAGUAACACGUGGGUAAUGUUCCCUCAGGCGGGGGAUAACCUUCCGAAAGGAGGGCUAAUACCGCAUAAGACCACGGCCUCGAAAGAAGCUGAGGUAAAAGCAGGCCUCUUCACGAAAGCUUGCACCAGGGGAUCAGCCCGCGGCCCAUCAGCUAGUUGGCAGGGUAAAGGCCUACCAAGGCUAAGACGGGUAGCUGGUCUGAGAGGAUGAUCAGCCACACUGGAACUGAGACACGGUCCAGACUCCUACGGGAGGCAGCAGUGGGGAAUCUUGCGCAAUGGACGAAAGUCUGACGCAGCGACGCCGCGUGGGUGAUGAAGGCCUUCGGGUUGUAAACCCUUUCAGCAGGGACGAAGCGAAGUGACGGUACCUGCAGAAGAAGCGCCGGCUAACUACGUGCCAGCAGCCGCGGU